rnacentral:tRNA from 1 species
ACGUGGCUGGCUCAGUCAGUAGAGCAUGAGACUCUUGAUCUCAGGGUUGUGAGUUCGAGCUCUACACUGCGUA